CUCCAAAAUGUUGAGUUUAGUUCCCUGUUCUGUGAAUGAAACUUUGGGGCAUUGAAAUUGUGUAGGGGACAUGAUUGGGUGGAAGUAUUGCUCUAUUCAAUUACCUCCCAGCCUAUAGUA
rnacentral:snoRNA from 1 species